CCUACGGGAGGCAGCAGUGAGGAAUAUUGGACAAUGGGCGCAAGCCUGAUCCAGCCAUGCCGCGUGCAGGAAGACGGUCCUAUGGAUUGUAAACUGCUUUUGUACAGGAAGAAACACUCCCUCGUGAGGGAGCUUGACGGUACUGUAAGAAUAAGGAUCGGCUAACUCCGUGCCAGCAGCCGCGGUAAUACGGAGGAUCCAAGCGUUAUCCGGAAUCAUUGGGUUUAAAGGGUCCGUAGGCGGUUUAAUAAGUCAGUGGUGAAAUCUGGUCGCUCAACGAUCAAACGGCCAUUGAUACUGUUAGACUUGAAUUAUUAGGAAGUAACUAGAAUAUGUAGUGUAGCGGUGAAAUGCUUAGAUAUUACAUGGAAUACCAAUUGCGAAGGCAGGUUACUACUAAUGGAUUGACGCUGAUGGACGAAAGCGUGGGGAGCGAACAGGAUUAGAUACCCUGGUAGUCCACGCCGUAAACGAUGGAUACUAGCUGUUCGGAGCAAUCUGAGUGGCUAAGCGAAAGUGAUAAGUAUCCCACCUGGGGAGUACGUUCGCAAGAAUGAAACUUAAAUGAAUUGACGG
rnacentral:rRNA from 1 species